UACGUAGGGCGCGAGCGUUGUCCGGAAUUAUUGGGCGUAAAGGGCUUGUAGGCGGUUGGUCGCGUCUGUCGUGAAAUCCUCUGGCUUAACUGGGGGCGUGCGGUGGGUACGGGCUGGCUUGAGUGCGGUAGGGGAGACUGGAACUCCUGGUGUAGCGGUGGAAUGCGCAGAUAUCAGGAAGAACACCGGUGGCGAAGGCGGGUCUCUGGGCCGUUACUGACGCUGAGGAGCGAAAGCGUGGGGAGCGAACAGG
rnacentral:rRNA from 1 species